rnacentral:rRNA from 1 species
UAAUGUUCGGAUUGUUUACCAAUGAUGCAGUAAUUUAGUCAGAGUAACAAAGUAACGACUAGUUGUUUAAGUUAAAAGGUAGAUUUAAUAUUCCGGAUAUGAGCGAGGAAUGUCGGCGAGCGGCGGACGGCUGAGUAGCGCGUAGGAACAUACCCCAAAGUGAGGCAUAACCGCCCGAAAGGGUGGCUAAUACCGCAUAUUGUCUUCGGAUGAAAGCUUUUAGCGCUUUGGGAAUGGCCUGCGUUUGAUUAGCUAGUUGGUGAGGUAAGGGCUUACCAAGGCGAUGAUCAAUAGCUGGUUUGAGAGAAUGAUCAGCCAGACUGGAACUGAGACACGGUCCAGACUCCUACGGGAGGCAGCAGUUGGGAAUUUUCCACAAUGGGCGAAAGCCUGAUGGAGCAACGCCGCGUGCAGGAAGAAUGCCUUCGGGUUGUAAACUGCUUUUAUGUGCGAAGAAUAUGACGGUAGCAUAUGAAUAAGGGUCGGCUAACUACGUG